rnacentral:rRNA from 1 species
UACGUAGGUGACAAGCGUUGUCCGGAUUUACUGGGCGUAAAGAGCGCGCAGGCGGUCGUUCAAGUCGAGUGUGAAAGCCCCCGGCUCAACUGGGGAGGGUCAUUCGAUACUGAUCGACUCGAAGGCAGGAGAGGGGAGUGGAAUUCCCGGUGUAGUGGUGAAAUGCGUAGAUAUCGGGAGGAACACCAGUGGCGAAGGCGACUUCCUGACCUGUUCUUGACGCUGAGGCGCGAAAGCUAGGGGAGCAAACGGG